GCAGAGCGUGCCGCUGUACCGGGUCAGCGAGGCUGAGCCGCCUACGCCAGAGCAACUACUGAUCCAUGCAUUGAUUCAUAGCAUUACGCACCGGCAUUCAGAGUUCUGGCGAAUCUAGGAAGUCGGCC
rnacentral:sRNA from 1 species